rnacentral:rRNA from 1 species
CCUACGGGAGGCAGCAGUGAGGAAUAUUGGUCAAUGGACGAGAGUCUGAACCAGCCAAGUAGCGUGAAGGAUGACUGCCCUACGGGUUGUAAACUUCUUUUAUAUGGGAAUAAAAUGUUCCACGUGUGGGAUUUUGUAUGUACCAUAUGAAUAAGGAUCGGCUAACUCCGUGCCAGCAGCCGCGGUAAUACGGAGGAUCCGAGCGUUAUCCGGAUUUAUUGGGUUUAAAGGGAGCGUAGGUGGAUUGUUAAGUCAGUUGUGAAAGUUUGCGGCUCAACCGUAAAAUUGCAGUUGAAACUGGCAGUCUUGAGUACAGUAGAGGUGGGCGGAAUUCGUGGUGUAGCGGUGAAAUGCUUAGAUAUCACGAAGAACUCCGAUUGCGAAGGCAGUUCACUGGACUGCAACUGACACUGAGGCUCGAAAGUGUGGGUAUCAAACAGGAUUAGAUACCCCUGUAGUC